rnacentral:rRNA from 1 species
UACGAGAGGCCCAAACGUUAUUCGGAAUUACUGGGCUUAAAGAGUUCGUAGGCGGCAUUGCAAGUAGGGUGUGAAAGCCCUCGGCUCAACCGAGGAAUUGCGCGGGAGACUGUCGGGCUUGAGUUCGGGAGAGGGAAGCGGAAUUCCGGGUGUAGCGGUGAAAUGCGUAGAUAUCCGGAGGAACACCGGUGGCGAAGGCGGCUUCCUGGACCGACACUGACGCUGAGGCGCGAAAGCUAGGGGAGCAAACGGG